rnacentral:lncRNA from 1 species
CACAAUUAUAAAAUGUUUUUAUUUCAAUUACAUAAUAACACGUUUUCCUCAAAUUUUAUUGAGGUUUUGGUCUUUUUGCAUUCAAUUCUAUCUUGUAACAGUAAUAUGAAUCCACAUAAUUUCAUAAAAUGUCAACAACAUUCAUAAGGUACAUUCCUUUGUGAUUUUAUAUUUUACAAUUUUAAAUCUAACUUUACAAUUAUUUUAAAAAAUUUUUUUAUAUAGAAAACAGAUAUUUUCUUCAGGCAGAUCAAAACAAGAAUUUUCCAGUAAGAAUAUACUGGGACAUAACAAAUGAAAAUAUUUAUACCAAAAUACCAAAAGUGAUUCAGCUCUUUAAAAUAUCCUACUAUAGUCUAAUUAGUAGCUUGUACAAGAACAAGUAACCAUUUUUUACUGCUCUUUUGAAUGAUGAUUAGAAAUUCAAACAAAGUAUUUUAAGGUUCAAAAACUUUUUUUUUUUUUUUUUUUUUUUUUAGAGACAGUGUCUCACUCUGUCUCCCAGGCUAGAGUACAGUGUGCAAUCAUAGCUCACUGCAGCCUUGAACUCCUGGUUCAAGCGAUUCUCCUGCCUCAGCCUCUGGAGUGGCUGGGAUUACAGGCGCCCACCAUCACGCCCGGCCAAUUUUUUGUAUUUUUAGUAGAGACAGGGUUUCACCAUGUUGGCCAGGCUGGCCUCGAACUCUUGACCUCAGGUGAUCCACCUGCCUUGGCCUCCCAAUGUACUGAGAUUACAGGCAUGAGCCACCACGCCCGGCCAAAAACAUUUAAAAAAUGACUGUCCCUGCUCAAAUACUGCAGUAGGAAAUGUAAUUUGACAUAUAUCACUUCCAGAAAAAAACUUUAAAUCUUUCUAUAAAAUGAAUUUGAUACAUCAUCAGCAUGAAGUGAAGUUAAAAUCUCUUACAAAGUAAAUUCAGGUAUAUCAACAAUGAGAUCCAAAAGUAUCGGUUCAAGAUCAAAGACUCAUAUGAGGUAAAGGCAAAUAAAGCCCCUCAUGCUUUCAGACAUUUACUUGUUAUCCUUAAAAUGAUUAUUGUUCUAAGGUGCAAAUCUUAUCAUUCAGUGACCUAUUUGCUAUUUGGCUGUUUAUCUCCUUUAAAUAAAAUACCAUACAGGUUAUAAUGUACAUUUUAAAAUCAAAUAUGAAAGUACACAUAUGUGAACAAGACAUUAAUUUAAAUAUCAAUUAUAUUCAUAAUACAGAAGUCUAAGAAUGCUAUUUGGUCAUUUCAAUUAGAUGCUGAUAUAUUUGGUCAAGAAAACCCACAUUCCUAUCAGCCUAAGGCAAAUAGUAAAUGCCUCUAUUUUUAUUAAGUGGACUAUAAACAGUAGACAUUAUUGUUUGAUACUACUGGAAUGCUCUCAAUUAGAACGUACACUGAUAACAAAUAUGUCUUUCUAAUCUGGGUGAUAACCUCAAUGAUUACAUGGAAAUCUACAAGUAACAGUCUAUAACUUAAAGCAGUAGAGCACCUGGUAAUUGUCAUACAGUGCCUCUCUAUGAAUUUAGAACAUUCUACUUACAUUGGCAGUGGAGAGAAAAGACCCCUUCACACUGAGACUUCCUGUGCACCGCGCCUGCCGCCUGCCUCAGCUUAGGACAUGGUACAGUCUUCUUUGCUUUUGCCCUUCUCAUUCCCUCCUCUGGUAUCUUCUCUGCUUUCUGGAUUGAAGUGCCCUGGCUCUCUUCCUGGUGCCGACAAGUCAUCGUUCUCUAGGCUAUUGCUGUCUAAAGCUUUCCUGACGGUCUGACUUGGAUGUUCUGACAUCUCACACCUCUCUGUACUUUCUGCUUCACAGGCAUCACUAAUGUCCUGUGAGGGACUUUCAUGUUCGGGCAGGGUGCAGCGAUCUGCGUCUUCGCUCUUUGGUUCUGCAGGACUGCUUUGAGUGGCACCAUCUAUUUUAGCAUUAUCUUUUGCAACACCUUCAUCUAAUUCUUCACCACCAGCCCUCGGGCCUGAUGAUUGAACGGUGUCAUCCUCAAAAUCUAAUGUGUCUCCAUCAGCUAGUACCUCCUCAGCUGCUGUUUGUACAUCAUCA